UCGGAUUGUAGGCUGCAACUCGCCUACAUGAAGUCGGAGUUGCUGGUAAUCGCGGAUCAGAAUGCCGCGGUGAAUGCGUUCCCGGGUCUUGUACACACCGCCCGUCACACCAUGGAAGUUGGGGUCGCCCGAAGUUGCCUAAGAAAUAAGGUACCUAAGGCGAAACCAAUGACUGGGGUGAAGUCGUAACAAGGUAAC
rnacentral:rRNA from 1 species